rnacentral:rRNA from 1 species
GGCUCAGGACGAACGCUGGCGGCGUGCUUAACACAUGCAAGUCGAGCGGAAAGGCCACUUCGGUGGUACUCGAGCGGCGAACGGGUGAGUAACACGUGAGUAAUCUGCCCCUGGCUUUGGGAUAGCCACCGGAAACGGUGAUUAAUACCGGAUAUGACCGACUUCCGCAUGGUUGUUGGUGGAAAGUUUUUCGGCCAGGGAUGUGCUCGCGGCCUAUCAGCUUGAUGGUGAGGUAAUGGCUCACCAUGGCUUCGACGGGUAGCCGGCCUGAGAGGGUGACCGGUCACACUGGGACUGAGACACGGCCCAGACUCCUACGGGAGGCAGCAGUGGGGAAUAUUGGACAAUGGGCGGAAGCCUGAUCCAGCAACGCCGCGUGAGGGAUGACGGCCUUCGGGUUGUAAACCUCUUUCGCCUGUGACGAAGCGCAAGUGACGGUAACAGGUAAAGAAGCACCGGCCAACUACGUGCCAGCAGCCGCGGUAAUACGUAGGGUGCGAGCGUUGUCCGGAAUUAUUGGGCGUAAAGGGCUCGUAGGCGGUUUGUCGCGUCGGGAGUGAAAACGCCGUGCUUAACACGGCGCUUGCUUUCGAUACGGGCAGACUAGAGGUAUUCAGGGGAGAACGGAAUUCCUGGUGUAGCGGUGAAAUGCGCAGAUAUCAGGAGGAACACCGGUGGCGAAGGCGGUUCUCUGGGAAUGACCUGACGCUGAGGAGCGAAA